GUACUGGCUUUGGUAGCACAGAUAUUAAAAUUGGAAUGAUACAAUGAAGUCUAACAUGGCCCCUGAACAAGUAUGACAUGCAAAUGUGUGCAAUAUUCCAUGUUUUU
rnacentral:snRNA from 1 species